CCUUCGGGAGCUGACGAGUGGCGGACGGGUGAGUAACGCGUAGGAAUCUGCCUCAUAGUGGGGGACAACGUGGGGAAACUCACGCUAAUACCGCAUACGCCCUACGGGGGAAAGCGGGGGCUCUUCGGACCUCGCGCUAUGAGAUGAGCCUGCGUUAGAUUAGCUAGUUGGUAGGGUAAAGGCCUACCAAGGCGACGAUCUAUAGCUGGUCUGAGAGGACGAUCAGCCACACUGGGACUGAGACACGGCCCAGACUCCUACGGGAGGCAGCAGUGGGGAAUAUUGGACAAUGGGCGCAAGCCUGAUCCAGCAAUACCGCGUGUGUGAAGAAGGCCCUAGGGUUGUAAAGCACUUUCAAUAGGGAGGAAAACCUGCCGGUCAAUACCCGGUAGCUUGACAUUACCUAUAGAAGAAGCACCGGCUAACUCCGUGCCAGCAGCCGCGGUAAUACGGAAGGUGCAAGCGUUAAUCGGAAUUACUGGGCGUAAAGCGUGCGUAGGCGGUUCGUUAAGUCAGAUGUGAAAGCCCCGGGCUUAACCUGGGAACUGCAUUUGAAACUGGCGGACUAGAGUUGAGUAGAGGGGAGUGGAAUUUCAGGUGUAGCGGUGAAAUGCGUAGAUAUCUGAAGGAACACCAGUGGCGAAGGCGACUCCCUGGACUCAAACUGACGCUGAGGUACGAAAGCGUGGGUAGCAAACAGGAUUAGAUACCCUGGUAGUCCACGCUGUAAACGAUGUCAACUAGCCGUUGGUCCUAUUUACAGGAUUAGUGGCGCAGCUAACGCAUUAAGUUGACCGCCUGGGGAGUACGGCCGCAAGGUUAAAACUCAAAUGAAUUGACGGGGGCCCGCACAAGCGGUGGAGCAUGUGGUUUAAUUCGAUGCAACGCGAAGAACCUUACCUACCCUUGACAUCCAUAGAAUC
rnacentral:rRNA from 1 species